UCAGGUAGUAACGGCGCCAACAUAAAUUUAGUCAUGGAUAACUUCAAAUAUUUACGAUGGUCCCCUGAGACACCACCUGAAAUGAAGUCUCAGGAUCCUGUGUUUCCUGCACAGUCCACAAAGCACGAUGUUGAGUCACCUGCUCUCAGAGUCCAUGACAGCUCUGUCCUCUUCAAUAAUGGUGCAUGGUGACCCUCAAUAUGAGAUACAAGGUAAG
rnacentral:lncRNA from 1 species